rnacentral:lncRNA from 1 species
CCUAAACUGCAGAAAAAAAGAAUAAUUUAAAAAGAAAAUCAAUACGAGUAGAAAAAGUAAUUAAAUGGAAAAAGCAUUUGUGAGUGAGAUGUACUAAAAAAGAAAGUGACAAAGUCUCGAGAAUAAGAAAAAAAAUCAUUCAUCAGUGCACAGAAACUCGUAGGCUAGCUGUAGUUACUAUAAUAUUCUAUGAUUUGCUAUGCAG